UUAAAACAAGCAAUUAGCCAAAGCUUUAGGUCUUCAGACUUUUCCGUGAGGAUACAUUGAUGAUGAAAGCAGAUGUUUCUCCAGGACGGGAGGUCCUGUUCGUUCACAAAGGCAGCGAGACCACUUACAUCCCCCAAUUCAACAAGAAACGUGAUGAGGGGUUGUGUCUUUUCUCACUGCUCCAAUUCCCUUCCAGGAGAGCACAUAACCAGCAACCUUUGCCUCCUAACCUUUCGUGGGGACACGCGCCCGUGGUUGCCCCAGCUGCGCCGAAAGCCAUGGACGUUUGAGAGCAUCUGUGCCAGGCGGAGUGACCCGGUGCCGGCGCUGCCCGGCCGAGCCCAGUGCAGCACUGGGGCUUCGCCCUGGCCAUCAGCUUCGCUGCUGCUUCUGCUCAGCGGCACGCAAACGCUACCCCUCCCCAGCGGGGAAGCUCAUUUCCCCCACGUGAUCUUUAUUCUGGCCAAUAAAUAAAUAAAAUAAAUAAUAUUCUGGGAGCAAAAGCUUGUGACUGAAGGUGAGACAGUUUUCCAUUUAUCAUGCAUGAUAAAUCCUGGCUGUAACGCAAGGACCCCUUUCAGUAAGUUUAGCAGCUGUAUUGCCCUGAAGACUGGGCUGUAUUUGGAAAGGGAGUUUGUAGCAUGCUCUGUGGAAGCAGCAGUUGUUUCUAUGUUUCUUCCAAUGUGUUAAAUGACAGUAACGGAUGCAGAGCCUAAAGCGGUCAACUUUCUAAAGGUCAGCUUUCAGCUGCUGCUAGAGUCUUAUUGGACUUUGUCAUCUCCUGGGAGAAGAACCAGAGUCUGCACUUAUGCUGUGGAUGACUCCUGUGAGCCUGCAAGAAAAUUGGUCUUCCUUAGUAUACAACUGAACACUUGGAAGAUCUGUAAUGUGACUGAAAGCACAGGAUCUUUUACAUAAUAUUAAUUCUCUACUUAAAAACCUCAGGUGAUGGCAAAUCAGACAUAAUCUGAAAAUCUGAUUCAGAAGGUAACCCUUCUUUUUAAAAGAUGUCAUUUUCAAAGUGUUUAACUUUUGUUUCCUUAUG